UUGACCCCGACCCAACCCAAACUAUUGGGCUUGUUGAGCCGAUCCAUCGGGUUGGCAUGUUGGGUCUAUUCGCUGGGUCAAUAAAAUAUAUAGAAAAUUAUACUAGUUUGUCUUAAUCCAGCUUAAGAGUUUUUGAUAUUAGAAAAAUGUUUUAAAUUCUUUGGUUCUAGUCAAUGAUAUAUAAUAAUACCUAGACUGACGAUUCAUUCAUUAAAAUGCCUUUUUAAGCACGUAUAAAUGCAAAUCAGCUGGAGACGCCAUAAACACCAUAUUUUUUACAUCGAUGAUAAUUUGCUCAAUAGCAUAUUUGAAUUUGUUAAAUUCCCUAUCAAGAAUGAAAUUUUAAUAUCAAAAUGGCUAAAGGCAAUGAAUAAGGAAAAUUUCACUCCUACUAAGUUUUUAAAGCUUUGUGGAGCCCAUUUCAAACCUGAAUGUUUUAUGCCCUCACAUUCAUGGAAUGCUAUUAGGAUCUGUACCAUCCAUUUUUAAUUCCAGACCCCUUCAGGAUAUAACAAAUAUUCCAUCGAAUACAAAUAAUACUCCUACAAAUUUUAACUAAUGCUACUAAUAUUUACUCUAUGCAGAUAAACAUAACAAAAAUUCAAAUAUCAAUUUUUGGCAGAAGUUGAAGAAAACCAUUCUAUUCGCAGGACAAUAAAUAUAUUGGCACAUGAUCUUUUUUAAUUUAUAUUAUGACUGUAUAUAUUUAAAUAUGGAUGCUAUAUAUUAAUGAAUUUUGUAAUUUAUUGUACAUUAUAUCUAUUUCUAAUUUAUAAUAAAAUAUGGAUGCUAUAUUAAUGAAUUUCGUAAUUUA